GAGAGAGAGAGAGCUGUGUUGCUUUUUGUCCUUUACCUGUGUUUUGCCCUUUUGUCGGACUUUCUAACUUUUCCUCUGCCUCUGGUCUUGUUUCUUUCAUGUCAGUCUUUACCAGAAUGGAAUGCCCGUGAAGAAACUACUUAAGGCUUUUUAAGGGCUCCCCUGCUCCUACAGCUGUCAGUCAGUAUACCCUGAAUGCAGAAGAGUGCAAAUACCUACCUCCUAGGAAAGCUGGGGCAAUUCUCCUCAAGAGAGGAAGCUUCUGGAAAUCUCACUUUUAAUGUAAAAAUUCAAGAAAUUCUUUGACUCAUUCCAUAAUAUGUCUGUAUUUGUUUUAAUAAAAAUUGUUAUUUUAAGCUACCUAUCAUUGGG
rnacentral:lncRNA from 1 species